rnacentral:rRNA from 1 species
GUUGAACGCUGGCGGCAUGCCUUACACAUGCAAGUCGAACGGUAACAGGUCUUCGGAUGCUGACGAGUGGCGAACGGGUGAGUAAUACAUCGGAACGUGCCUAGUAGUGGGGGAUAACUACUCGAAAGAGUGGCUAAUACCGCAUGAGAUCUACGGAUGAAAGCAGGGGAUCGCAAGACCUUGUGCUACUAGAGCGGCCGAGGGCAGAUUAGGUAGUUGGUGGGAUAAAAGCUUACCAAGCCGACGAUCUGUAGCUGGUCUGAGAGGAGGAUCAGCCACACUGGGACUGAGAAACGGCCCAGACUCCUACGGGAGGCAGCAGUGGGGAAUUUUGGACAAUGGGCGCAAGCCUGAUCCAGCAAUGCCGCGUGCAGGAUGAAGGCCUUCGGGUUGUAAACUGCUUUUGUACGGAACGAAAAGCCCCGGGUUAAUACCCUGGGGUCAUGACGGUACCGUAAGAAUAAGCACCGGCUAACUACGUGCCAGCAGCCGCAGUAA